GACGGGGGGAGCGGCCGGCAGGGGUCCCCGGGGCGCCGGCGGCACGAAGUCAUUUCCGAAGUCCAUCAGGGGCGCGCCGGCGGCAGGGGCGGUGGGCACUGGGGCCGCGGACAGCCCGGCGGCGGGCUUCCUCUCCAGCACCUCCAGCUCCUCCAGGUCUUCGUCCUCGUCCUCCUCUUCCUCCUCCUCUUCUUCCUCCUCGUCCUCGGGCUCCCUCACGAACUGGUACUUGAACGCGGGCUGCGGCCGGGGUGGG
rnacentral:lncRNA from 1 species